GACGAAGGAUGCAAGCGUUAUCCGGAUUCAUUGGGUCUAAAGGGAGCGUAGGUGGUCUUAUAAGUCAGUGGUGAAAUCUCCGGGCUUAACCCGGAAAUUGCCAUUGAUACUGUAGGACUUGAGUACAGAUGCCGUUGGCGGAAUAUGACAUGUAGUGGUGAAAUACAUAGAGAUGUCAUAGAACACCGAUUGCGAAGGCAGCUAACGAAACUGUAACUGACACUGAGGCUCGAAAGUGCGGGGAUCAAACAGG
rnacentral:rRNA from 1 species